AGCUCCAAUAGCGUAUAUUAAAGUUGUUGCAGUUAAAAAGCUCGUAGUUGGAUUUCGGGACGGGCCGGUCGGUCGGCCGCGAGGUCUGUUACUGACCGGUCUGUUCUUCUUCGCAAAGACUGCGUGUGCUCUUUACUGAGUGGGCGUAGGAUUUGCGACGUUUACUUUGAAAAAAUUAGAGUGUUCAAAGCAGGCUAUCGCUUGAAUACAUGAGCAUGGAAUAAUGGAAUAGGACUUUGGUCCUAUUUUGUUGGUUUCUAGGACCAAAGUAAUGAUUAAGAGGGACAAUUGGGGGCAUCCGUAUUUCGUUGUCAGAGGUGAAAUUCUUGGAUUUGCGAAAGACGAACAACUGCGAAAGCACUUGCCAAGAGUGUUUUCAUUAAUCAAGAACGAAAGUAGG
rnacentral:rRNA from 1 species